AGUGAACGCUGGCGGUAGGCCUAACACAUGCAAGUCGAACGGCAGCACAGUAAUAGCUUGCUCUUACGGGUGGCGAGUGGCGGACGGGUGAGGAAUACAUCGGAAUCUACUUUUUCGUGGGGGAUAACGUAGGGAAACUUACGCUAAUACCGCAUACGACCUACGUGUGAAAGCAGGGGAUCUUCGGACCUUUCGCGAUUGAAUGAGCCGAUGUCGGAUUAGCUAGUUGGCGGGGUAAAGGCCCACCAAGGCGACGAUCCGUAGCUGGUCUGAGAGGAUGAUCAGCCACACUGGAAGUGAGACACGGUCCAGACUCCUACGGGAGGCAGCAGUGGGGAAUAUUGGACAAUGGGCGAAAGCCUGAUCCAGCCAUACCGCGUGGGUGAAGAAGGCCUUCGGGUUGUAAAGCCCUUUUGUUGGGAAAGAAAAGCAGCAGGUUAAUACCCCGCUGUUCUGACGGUACCCAAAGAAUAAGCACCGGCUAACUUCGUG
rnacentral:rRNA from 1 species